rnacentral:rRNA from 1 species
UACGUAGGGUGCGAGCGUUGUCCGGAAUUACUGGGCGUAAAGAGCUCGUAGGUGGUUUGUCGCGUUGUUCGUGAAAACUCACAGCUUAACUGUGGGCGUGCGGGCGAUACGGGCAGACUGGAGUACUGCAGGGGAGACUGGAAUUCCUGGUGUAGCGGUGGAAUGCGCAGAUAUCAGGAGGAACACCGGUGGCGAAGGCGGGUCUCUGGGCCUUACCUGACGCUGAGGAGCGAAAGCGUGGGUAGCGAACAGG